rnacentral:rRNA from 1 species
AACGAACGCUGGCGGCAUGCCUAACACAUGCAAGUCGAACGAGACCUUCGGGUCUAGUGGCGCACGGGUGCGUAACGCGUGGGAACCUGCCCUUAGGUUCGGAAUAACUCCCCGAAAGGGGUGCUAAUACCGGAUAAUUUCUUCGGACCAAAGAUUUAUCGCCUUUGGAUGGGCCCGCGUUGGAUUAGCUAUUUGGUAGGGUAAAAGCCUACCAAGGCGACGAUCCAUAGCUGGUCUGAGAGGAUGAUCAGCCACACUGGGACUGAGACACGGCCCAGACUCCUACGGGAGGCAGCAGUGGGGAAUAUUGGACAAUGGGCGAAAGCCUGAUCCAGCAAUGCCGCGUGAGUGAUGAAGGCCUUAGGGUUGUAAAGCUCUUUUACCCGGGAUGAUAAUGACAGUACCGGGAGAAUAAGCGCCGGCUAACUCCGUG